UAUAAGUAACGGGUGAUUUUUUUGAGGUUAGGAUUUUCAUGCAUUAGUAUUUGACAGAUCACGUGGGAUUUCAGACAUGGUGUCAAAGAGAAAGAUGCUCAGUAUGCUUUGACAUUUCAUCAUGAAUAGACUUACUAACGAGCAACGCUUGCAAAUCAUUGAAUUUUAUUACCAAAAUCAGUGUUCGGUUCGAAAUGUGUUUCGCGCUUUUUUAUCGACAAAUUUUGUUCAGCGAUGAGGCUCAUUUCUGGUUGAAUGGCUACGUAAAUAAGCAAAAUUGCCGCAUUUGGGGUGAAGAGCAACCAGAAGCCGUUCAAGAACUGCCCAUGCAUCCCGAAAAAUGCACUGUUUGGUGUGGUUUGUACGCUGGUGGAAUCAUUGGACCGUAUUUUUUCAAAGAUGCUGUUGGACGCAACGUUACGGUGAAUGGCGAUCGCUAUCGUUCGAUGCUAACAAACUUUUUGUUGCCAAAAAUGGAAGAACUGAACUUGGUUGACAUGUGGUUUCAACAAGAUGGCGCUACAUGCCACACAGCUCGCGAUUCUAUGGCCAUUUUGAGGGAAAACUUCGGACAACAAUUCAUCUCAAGAAAUGGACCCGUAAGUUGGCCACCAAGAUCAUGCGAUUUAACGCCUUUAGACUAUUUUUUGUGGGGCUACGUCAAGUCUAAAGUCUACAGAAAUAAGCCAGCAACUAUUCAAGCUUUGGAAGACAACAUUUCCGAAGAAAUUCGGGCUAUUCCGGCCGAAAUGCUCGAAAAAGUUGCCCAAAAUUGGACUUUCCGAAUGGACCACCUAAGACGCAGCCGCGGUCAACAUUUAAAUGAAAUUAUCUUCAAAAAGUAAAUGUCAUGAACCAAUCUAACGUUUCAAAUAAAGAACCGAUGAGAUUUUGCAAAUUUUAUGCGUUUUUUUUUUAAAAAAAGUUAUCAAGCUCUUAAAAAAUCACCCUUUAUAUACAUACAAACAUAGAAAUGUGUAGCGAGACCGAGAAUUGCGAGAUCGCAUCAAUAAGCGAGCAGUUUGAUAUCAACAACUGACUGAAUAACAGCACAGGUGCCGUUGAAUAAUUUUCAAGAAGCUUUAAUUCAAUUUCCUUAUUAAAAAAAAAAUAAAAUUAAAAUGUUGAAACUGAGCAAAAUACUUUUUGUAACGCUUUUGCUUUUUAUCCUUCUACUCGCUUUGACCACCGCGCGGUACACAGGCGGUGAGCAGGAGUUCAGGAGAGUGGGAUCAAUAUUCCAACCGGAACCAGACCCGACCAUAUUUCGUCCCACUAUUCAGAGCGCACAAGUCAGUGGCGCACCAGCCAUGGAGCUCAAUAACGGUAUGGACUAUAUGGAAUGAUUAUAUAAUAACGCUGAUGGAUGCAGGUCAAUGACCCUACUUUGCACGGCGGAAAGUAUUUAGCGCAAGCUGUUUGCCGUUAUAAUUUCACGAAUGCCCCUCUGUGAAGAGAUUACCUCGUAAUGGUACAAAUAUUAUUAAGACAAAGUGUAGUUAAUGUUCACCUAAAUGCCAGAAUUUCAUAAGCACCCUUCUAUGUUUGUAUGUAUGUAUGUAUUUAUGCGCUUAUUUAAUAUAGUUCGACGAUUAGUCAGCUGUUUUAGCGAGCGUUGCGUUGA